rnacentral:rRNA from 1 species
UGAUCAGCCAUGCCGCGUGCAGGAGACUGCCCUCUGGGUUGUAAACUGCUUUUAUAUGGGAAGAAAGACUCCAGCUGGAGGGAUUGGAGGGACCUGAAGAAUAAACGACCGGUUAAUUCCUGGCCACCACCCCGGGAAUUACUGAGGGGCCAGCGGUAUCCCGAAUUAUUGGGUUUUAAGGGGGCCUAAGGGGGCUGUUUAAUCCGUGGGUGAAAGUAGCCACUUAACUGGUUUACUUGCCAUUGAUACUGACAGGCUUGAGUUAUCAUAAGGUAGGCGGAAUUUCUGGUGUAGCGGUGAAAUGCAUAGAUAUCACAUAGAACACCUAUUGCGAAGGCAGCUUGCUGCACAUAAACUGACGCUGAUGCACGAAAGCGUGGGGAGCGAACAGGAUUAGAUACCCUGGUAGUCCACGCCGUAAACGAUGAUUACUAGUUGUUGGCGAUAUACAGUCAGUGACCAAGGGAAACCGAUAAGUAAUCCACCUGGGGAGUACGCCGGCAACGGUGAAACUCAAAGGAAUUGACGG